UAAACCCUUGAACAAUGAAUGCUAGAUUUGUGCCCAACGUUGUGAUGGUGGAUGAUGUGGGAAUGUGGAUGGUUGUGUAACAUUGGUGAAAAGUUUGUAUUUGGAAGUUGCAUGAUGGAGCAUUGAUCAAUUUGUAAUAUGUAAAUGGCAUUGUUAUUCUUGAGACAGGCCAGCAUCGAGGGAGAAGUAAAGUUUUUUUUUCAUAUGUCAAUAAUUAAGAAUAUAUUUGAAAGGUUUAUUCAAUAAAUAAUUAAUAAUUUCAAUAAGGCAUAUUUUAUAGAUGAUAGAAAUUGUCAAAUAUAGGUUGUCUAGUUAGCUAGCAGAUGGAAGUUUAAUGGUUCUACUACGGUACAACCCCUUGUCUGAAACAUUGCACUUAGACUCACAUCUUCAUGUACCAAAAGAGCUGGAAUGUCGCCAUAUGACUUAAAAACAAACCAAUUGUUAUAUGUUGAGUUUAAACAGUUUAAGAUAAAAUAAAUAUUUACAUUUUGAGAUAAUUGUCCCCGGCCCUUGUCUUUAACAUACAUUGUACUUAGGGACACAUCUGCAAAUAAAGCUGGAGAGUUGUCAUGUGGCAUAAGAGCUGUGAUUACUGGAGCAAUGAAGGACUUGGCAGACACUGUGAAAGUUGAUCAAGACUGGUAUCGAUUCUUCGAGAGUCCCGGUGCUGAUAUACUCGCAAGAAGCAGUCGUGUUUGGGGCAGCUUUCUACACCUCUGUGCCGGCAGAUUUGUAAGAUUGGAAGUUGUUUCAGUGUGGAGAGAGAUGGACACGGUGUAUUGUUAGGUAAAACUUGCCCUUUGAUGUCACGGGUAGUUCUCAUUAAAGUAAACCCUUGAACAAUGAAUGCUAGAUUGGUGUCCAACGUUGUGAUGGUGGAUGAUGUCGGAAUGUGGAUGGUUGUGUAACAUUGGUGAAAAGUUUGUGUUGGGAAGUUGCAUGAUGGAGCAUUGGGACACAUCUGCAAAUAAAGCUGGAGAGUUGCCAUGUGGCAUAAGAGCUGUGAUUACUGGAGCAAUGAAGGACUUGGCAGACACUGUGAAAGUUGAUCAAGACUGGUAUCGAUUCUUCGAGAGUCCCGGUGCUGAUAUACUCGCAAGAAGCAGUCAUGUUUGGGGCAGCUUUCUACACCUCUGUGCCGGCAGAUUUGUAAGA